rnacentral:rRNA from 1 species
UGAGGAAUAUUGGACAAUGGGUUAGCGCCUGAUCCAGCCAUCCCGCGUGAAGGACGACGGCCCUCAUGGGUUGUAAACUGCUUUUGUACAGGGAUAAACCUAUCUACGUGUAGAUAGCUGAAGGUACUGUACGAAUAAGCACCGGCUAACUCCGUG